AAACCAUGAUGAGGACACUCUACUAGGAGGUCUUGGAAAUGUUCCAUACAUCGAGAGAAUGAUUCAUUGGGUCUCUGGCAAAACUGAAAAAUGUCGUUCCUAAGCUU
rnacentral:snoRNA from 1 species